UCCCCAUCCUCACAGUUCUCUUCUCCAAGCUUCCUCGAUCAACCCCUUCAAAACCCAGCUGCUGCUGCCAUCAAGAUCUUCUUUUUUCUUCUUCAAACGCUCACUCUCCUUCAAUAAAUGGCGAAAGACACAAUGCCACGCCCAUGGUUUCUCGAUUUAGUACCUCUCAUGGUUGUUCUCCUCGCCGUAGCCCAUGUUCUUGCUUUGGCUUAUUGGAUUUACAGAUUAGCCACUGAGAAACAGCCCCAGAGAAAUAAGAGACAUUGAGGAGGUUAAAAAACAAGGUAUUUGUUUUUAAAAUGCAGAAUACGAUUUCUUCCAACAUCAAAUACAAGCUCGUGAUGGGCUGCAUUUGGCUACCACAUAGACUUUGUGUUUUUGUAUAUCAAAAGUGCUACAUAUUCCUUGACUCUAGGGUUGGUACUUCAUAUAACAUUGUUGAGUGCCCAGUUUUUGGUUGUGAUGUCUUAACCAUCAGAUUCCUUGAUAACUGUUUGCGUGAUGUUGAAUCAUGCAUGCUCUAUUGCUUACCUUUGUUUGAGUACAUGGUCAUCUUUAUUGAUACAGGUACUCAAAUCCUGCUGUUAACUGAACAAAUGGUUAAAUUUGAAGUCUUCAGCUGUUGUAAAGAGAGAUUUCUGCA